rnacentral:rRNA from 1 species
GAUGAACGCUGGCGGCGUGCCUAAUACAUGCAAGUCGAGCGAACAGACGAGGAGCUUGCUCCUCUGACGUUAGCGGCGGACGGGUGAGUAACACGUGGAUAACCUAUCUAUAAGACUGGGAUAACUUCGGGAAACCGGAUCUAAUACCGGAUAAUAUAUUGAACCGCAUGGUUCAAUAGUGAAAGCCGGUUUUGCUGUCACUUAUAGAUGGAUCCGCGCCGCAUUAGCUAGUUGGUAAGGUAACGGCUUACCAAGACGACGAUGCGUAGCCGACCUGAGAGGGUGAUCGGCCACACUGGAACUGAGACACGGUCCAGACUCCUACGGGAGGCAGCAGUAGGGAAUCUUCCGCAAUGGGCGAAAGCCUGACGGAGCAACGCCGCGUGAGUGAUGAAGGUCUUCGGAUCGUAAAGCUCUGUUAUUAGGGAAGAACAAAUGUGUAAGUAACUAUGCACGUCUUGACGGUACCUAAUCAGAAAGCCACGGCUAACUACGUG